rnacentral:rRNA from 1 species
GAAUUUUGCGCAAUGGGCGAAAGCCUGACGCAGCAACGCCGCGUGUGUGAUGAAGGUCUUUGGAUUGUAAAGCACUUUCGACCGGGACGAAAACCCGUUGGCUAACAUCCAACGGCUUGACUGUACCGGGAGAAGAAGCACCGGCUAACUCUGUGCCAGCAGCCGCGGGAAUACAGAGGGGGCAAGCGUUGUUCGGAAGUAUUGGGCGUAAAGCGCGUGUAGGCGGCGUGACAAGUCGGGUGUGAAAGCCCUCAGCUCAACUGAGGAAGUGCGCCCGAAACUGUCGUGCUUGAGUGUCGGAGAGGGUGGCGGAAUUCCCCAAGUAGAGGUGAAAUUCGUAGAUAUGGGGAGGAACACCGGUGGCGAAGGCGGCCACCUGGACGACUACUGACGCUGAGACGCGAAAGCGUGGGGAGCAAACAGG